GGGAGGUGACGAUGAUAUUGCGUCUGCGUGAGGGGAGAUGCUGGGAUGCUGAGGGGAGGGAGAGGGAGACAAGGGCCCACACCACAGACCCUGUUCCAACCCCUCACUGGCCACACGUUCCCCUUCCCUGCCGCCGUCGUCCCCGUCUUGCAUCCUCCACAACCAACUUCAACAUUUUCAGGAGAGCAGAGUCAGACUUCAGCUUCACAGUACAAGACCUUCCCUCAUCUCACCGCUGCUCCUGCCUGGCGGUUCUUCUCCUUCCUUCUACACCACCACUCCUACUCCUACUCCUUCACCGACCGCUGCUGCUGCACUUGACUUCCGCCUCUCAAGAACACCAAGGCUUCCUCUCUGGGAGUUUUCGAGACUGUUCAGAAGCCCGGCCGCCGCCAUCCUGAGUCGUGGUCUGGCAGGUGUUGGGAGGAGCAGGUACUUACUCCUUCACACGUCUCCGGAGCUCCCAAACACCCACUACUCCACUACUCCAACUCUACAACUUCACCUUCCACUGCUAGCACACUUGCCUCAUACAGUCAGAUUAACCCGACUCGGUCACUGCCUCCUGCUCCUCCGCCUCCAACUCUCAUUCUUGUUCCUUUCUCCUAAUCCCAUCUUCAACAUUUUCUUCUCUGCAGAUCAACUCUUCACGCCUCCCUCUCCUCUCCUUCGCUUCUUCUCUUCCUCAUCCUGUACCAAGUGACUCAGCGGAGCAUCAGUUCGGGAAAUAUCCUUGAUUCUCUUAAGUUGUGAGAAACAGACCAGAACGCGGAGGCUUGAGUCCCUAGCCUCACCACCACACACCAGACUCACCCAACUCUACACAGCAACACGGAAAACUCAGGCCGUUUUUCCCCAACACUCGCCAAGGGAGGAUGUGCGAGCGAGCGAGCGAGCGAGCAGCGAUGUGCGUGUGAGUGUGUGUGUGUGUAUGUGUGCCUGCUGCAGAUGGAGGCGGCGCAGGAGGAGGAGGAACAUAAGAGCAGCUGCUGAAUGAGACGUGCUUCAGUGCACCCUCAACGGAGCUUCGGAGCUGAGGCUUGGAGACGGCUUCACCGAAUCAGAAGUGGAUUUCAGAUUUUAAUUAAUUUCAGCAAGAGGGUGAGGCGCAGCGGCUGUAAUGGCGGAGUAUGGCUGGGCUUCGCUGUCUGCCUGCUGGGUGGCGCGCGACAAUAGCUCACAACGCUUCCAAUGAUUUCAGCGGAUUAUAGAAGCCUUUGAUAAAUUCCUGCGGCACCUAGCGGCAUUGUGAAGCUUUCCUGGACGUGUGGGCGUGCUGGGUGGAGGGCUUUGGGUUGCGGGCGUCUCCUCGUGUUCACUGCAGGCCUUAAUGUAGAACUGUUCAUAAGGCACGCGGUGAAUGCCAAGAGCUACCCGCCUAUCUUCACGCCCACCGCCAACACUGUACUGGCAACACGGCACGGCAAUGCAAGACACUCAACACCACGCAUCAAGAAUACCACCGACUGCUGCUGCUUCUACUGCUUCUACAACAACUACAGCAACAACAACAACAACAACUACUACUACUACUACUACUACUACUACUACUACUACUACUGAUACCACUACUACUAUAACAUUAUAAAAAAGAUGUUCUGAUUUCAACGCAAUUUUUCCUUUUAUUUCGUAUGUCGUCCCCUUGACCACCACGUCCUUCAUUCAGACACCACCAUCCCUCUCCACCUUCAGCCACGUCGCCAAUACCCUUUCGUCACCAUCACUCAUGUGGCAGUGACUCUUUGGUAUUUGGCAGCGGUGUUGAAUGGUAACAGUGGUGAUGGAUGGUAAUGGUAGUGGUGGUGGUGGUGGUGGUGGUUACUGUAUUGCUAUCGAACUUGUGACAAAACUUGAUCCUCUUUUGUCACUUAGUCUGAAGGGGAGUCGAGUUGGCAGUUUUGUAUAAAUGAAAUGGACUGAGUUACCAUGCAAGGGAGUUAAUUAAUUCCAUCAUUAGAUGAAGACUUUCUUUAUUAGCCUCAGGAGUCAAGGGUAUCUCUCCCCUACAUGUUACUGAACGCUUCUUUUAUAUUUCGAUAUUUUUGAGUCCAGUUAAUUAAUGUAAAUGUAUUGAGAUAGAUAAUGUUAAUAACUUAAUCUUAUUUAGGCACUUUAGCUAAAGAGAAUUAAGUUAAAUAUUUUGUAUGAAUAAUUUUACCAUAACGAAACUUUAAGCCUUUGUUGCCUAGAGUUGCUGAUGUGGAUUUUUACUUAGUUUACUGUACUUUAGGAAACAUAGAAGGCAAUGGUUGCUGUACACUGAAACAUGGAAUUCUGCCAGGCAUUUUCAACUCUACUGAUUGUUUUGUAAUCGAUGAUGUAUGUGUAAUUUUGUAAUGAAUUUAGUUUAUGUUAGGCUGAUUACCCACUGCGUCUUUUGUUAGAUGUUUCACGUGUAGGAACGACACACACACACACACACACACACACACACACACACACACACACACACACACACACAAACUCGUAUCUUCGUUUACAUACAUUUGAAUAUUGCAAGGUUAGCGAGGUAUCACUGUGUAGUUCCAAGCAUACACAGACUCAUUAACUUAGAAAGGAGAGACAAACAAUUUUAUCAACAUUUUGUAACUAAUAUUUGUGUCAUUUUAAACCAACAUGACCACGCACAUUUUUUUUAUUUCGCUUUUAUCUAUGCGUCCUUAAUUUAUAACAGAAAAAGUAAACUAUAAGAAAUGGUUCAAAGCAUCAUCCUUGUUAUCUCCUAUAAAACACUCAACACCUCACUUUGACAACAAAAUACACAUACAUGGAAAACAAAUACACAAACACACGGCAAACAAUCAAACACUCGGCCAGUAGGACAGAGGAGCAGGGCAAAAGAGUAAUCACAAACAUUUUUUAGCAGUAUUUACUUGCACUGAUGAGUAAUACAAGUUGAUGGUCAAUACUGCACAGGCGUAGCGGCAAAGGACAACACUGCGCCUCAUAGGAUUUAUUUACUUUUCACUGAACUUAUUUAAUCUGUGCGAACUGGAAAAAUAAAAUGUCAUGUACAAACUUUAAAUAUUUUCUAGAGAAACUGAUAUUAACUUAGAUUAUUUUCACCAAGUGUGGGAUUCGACUGUAGUUUCUUGAUUACUCGUGUGCCAACAAUACUGGGGCUCAUAACUACAAAGGAUUCACUAUUUUGUCCCUCAUCUACAUAUAUAAGGCACAAUAUACUUCAGUCACACGUUGUCUACUGCUAACGCUACAGUUGAUGUUGAUACUACUACUACAAAUGCAACAAUGAAACAAUAAUAACAACAUCUAUUACUAUUAAAAGAACUACUACUGUUCUUGCUACUACUACUACUACUACUACUACUACAACUUCAACAACAUUACAACUACUACUUCUAAUGAGGCACCAAACAUCACACUCAAUCAAACACAACCUGAGUCAUCCUAUACAAUCUAGCUCUCCUCUUUAUGUCGCUUAGCUAACCUACCCAAGCCAUUAAUAAGGUGUUGAGGUAACCCUGUUUAGUGACACCAUAGGGAAACAGUUUGUAUUUAGAGGGAGGGGUUAUUUUGAACGUCAGUGACAGGUCAGUGCUGUGUUAUACCUCCGGCCUGACGUGUGCCUGGUGUUCAGAAUUUUGUGGUCUUCAAGUGUUCAUAACAGUGUAUAUUCUAUUACGUUGUCUGUUCUUGCUUUCGUGUUUAUAAUUCUUGGAUACUGUGGCUUGGAAAAUAGUUCUAAGCUUCCUCUUUUUGCCUUGAGAGGGUAGACUUGUAAUCUCACACCUAAUAUCAACUGUUGAAAGGGCGUGCCACUUGUGUGUUUGAUUCAAUGUGUUAGCUGUCUGAGGUACAAAACUGCUUUCAAUAUUAUUUGUACUUCAUAAAUCUAAGCCACUCAUUAAUAGUAUUUCCACUUUGUAAUGAAAAGUCAAUAUAAACUAACGCAAUGAUAGUCUUAAAAACUUCAAGACAUGUUUUCUGCUCGUCAAUUCUGUUCCCGAUACGAAGACCAAGCUCCAACCAACCCACUGAACAGCUCCGUGUCUACUUCAGCUUCACACACUUCUGAGGACACUUCCUGCCGGGCCAACACUGUGGACCUCAGUCAGAGUAGCUGUGGCUUUGUCCUCCAAGACUCUGCAAGACUUUCCUGUACUUCCAUAUGAUUCCUAAAUAAACACACACCUUAUAAA